AUUGAACGCUGGCGGCAGGCCUAACACAUGCAAGUCGAACGAGUGGCGGACGGGUGUGUAAUGUCUGGGAAACUGCUUGAUGGAGGGGGUAAAUUCCUGGAAACGGUAGCUAUUACCGCAUACCAUCAGAUGUUCCCAGAUGGGAUUAGCUUGUUGGUGGGGUAACGGCUCACCAAGGCGACGAUCCCUAGCUGGUCUGAGAGGAUGACCAGCCACACUGGAACUGAGACACGGUCCAGACUCCUACGGGAGGCAGCAGUGGGGAAUAUUUCACAAUGGGCGAAAGCCUGAUGCAGCCAUGCCGCGUGUAUGAAGAAGGCCUUCGGGUUGUAAAGUACUUUCAGCGGGGAGGCGUUACCCGCAGAAGAAGCACCGGCUAACUCCGUGCCAGCAGCCGCGGUAAUUC
rnacentral:rRNA from 1 species